GUCUUCCCUACUUUUUAUAAUCUUUCACAUCUCUCAAGACAUAAUUUUGAUUUGUAAAUAUUCCUUAUUUUCUCCCCUGUACCCUUUAAAAAUCUCUGGACUAUUUUAUGUUUUCAUUCAUUUACUCAUUCAUCCAUUCUUUUAAAAAUGUUUAGUGAGCUCCUAUUUUGUGUGGAGAACAGGUGUGAGGAUACAGCGGUGGACAGGGGCACGGUUCCUUCCCCGUGGAUAGGCAGACACCAUUUGAACAUCUCUUGGUAUGCUUACCAUCCUUCCCUCCUCUCUUCCUUUCGAAGAUCAGUGGCUCCCCUCUUCCCUAGAAGCUCGGAAAAUCUAGCCAGGUAGAAGAUAAAAACAUGAAAACAAAAACCCCCAAAGGCUUAAGAGUUGAAAGAGAUCUGGGCUCAAAUCACGAUUCUACCACUUAGUAGUGAUACGACUUUGAGCAAAGACCCUCUCUCAGCUUCUGUCCUGACCUGCGGAAUAAGAAUAAGAAUACCUAAGUCAUGGUGCUGUGGGAAGAUGAGGGAAAUCUGGCCCAAAGCUAAGUAAAACCUGUGACGCGUGGCAGACACUUGCCGAGAGCAUUGCCACCAUCACCGUCACACCAUCAAUCUUCCCCACCCUGACAUAUGCCUUGAAUUUUCCUUUCUCAGUGGCUUUUUCUCCUCUCUCUGCAGAAGGAUGAGGCCACAACACAAGACACUGCCAAGAUCAUGGGGGCCCCAUGGGGACUUUUCUUCCCAGCUCCCAGCUGCGGGCCCGCUGAUUCUGCCUCCUCUCAACCGCAGUGUGCUCCUGGCUCCUCAUGGCCCCAUUUCUACUUCAAGUCUCCUUCUGCUGCACAUUCUGUACAACCUCUCACUGCAAACCUCCACGGUUCUCAAUUCUAACUCCCAAGAGAUAUUAGAUCUACUGCUGGACCCAGUGCCACCCUGUUUGGAAAGACCGUUCCUGUCAGAAUAUCUCGUGGGUUGUUACCAACCUAUCGAUUUUGACUGUCCCUGUGUUAGGGAUCCCGCUGGGUAGAGUCACCUCAGGAGAGCUCAAGAACACCUUGCUCCUUCAGAAGUGCCAACGGACCUAUGGGCUGGGGACUGAAAUUUGGCAGUGACAGAGAAGAGUCAAAACUGAUCUCCCAUCAAUAACAGGUCAGCCGUGGAAGGGGGAGACCCUGAAAAUGCAGUGACAUAAGAUGGUAGCCGAGCAGGACUACCUGGGGGGCUGGAGGAGGCACUAGAAGAGAAGAAAAGACAUCCAGUUGGGAGCUGAAAGUUCCUGGAAAAUGAGCUGCAGACCAGGAGUCAUCAAUAAGACAUCCACAGGGAACAGCCGGCUUCUCACAAAGGAACCACCAGGGACCUCCAGGAACACUUCUCUUCCUUCUGCUUGCGAAUUUCAGGAAAAUGUGUACAAUCUCACUGACAGCAGAGAUCCUCUUUAGUUGCUUGAUAUGGAAUCUGAGAAUAUGACAUUCCUUGUGUAUUUGCCUCUCUUAAACUUAUUUUUUGAAAUUGUUAUUUUUUCAAAUAAUUGACAUACAACAUUGUGUUCUGUUUCAGGUAUCAACCAUGAUUAGGUAUUUAUAUAUAUUACAAAAUGAUCUCUACAAUAAGUCUAGUUCAAAAUCCAUUGCCAUACAUAGUUACAAUUUUUUUUCUCUUGUGCUGAGGAUUUUUUUUUAUUAAAUAUGCAAUACAGUAUUAUUAACUAUAGUCACCAAACUACAUUAUCUCUCCAUGACUUAUUGAUCUUAUAACUGGAAGUUGGUGUGCCUCUUGAUCCUUUUAACCCGGUUUGCCCAACACCCACCCCUCACCACUGGCAACCUCUAAUCUGUACUCUGUUCCUAUGAGCUGGGUUUAUUGUUGUUGUUUUUAGAUUCCGUGUAUAAGUGAGAUCAUACGGUGUCUGUAUUUUUCUGUCUGACUUAUUUCACUUGCAUAAUGCCCUCAAGGUCCAUUCAUGUUGUCACAAAUGGCAAGAUUUCUUUUUUUGUUUAUAGCUGACUAGUAUUCCACUGUAUGUCCGUACCACAACUUGUUUAUCCAUUCAUCCCUCUACGGACACUUAGGCCAUCUCCAUAUCCUGCCUAUUGUAAAUGAUAUUACAGUGAGCAUGGGUAUGCAUGUACCUUUUCAAGUUAGAGUUUUUGUUUUCCUGGGAUAUAUACCCAGAUGUGGAAUUGCUGAAUUAUGUAGUAAUUAUGUUUUUCAUUAUUUGAGGAAACACCAUACUGUUUUCCAUAGUGGCUGCGCCAGUCUGCCUUCCUACCAACAGUGCACAGGGUUCCCUUUUCUCCACAUGCUCACCAACACUUAUUUCUUUUAUUUUUGAUACUGGCCAUUCCAACGGGUAUGAGGCAAUAUCCCAUUCUGGUUUAGAUUUGAUGAGUGACGUUGAGUAUCUUUUCAUGUGUCUGUUGGCCAUCUGUUUUGUCUUCUUUAGAAAAACAUCUAUUCAGAUUCUGUGUCUAUUUUCAGCUGGAUUGUUUGGUUCGGUUUUGGUUUUGGUUUCUGCAGCUGGUUGUGUGAGUUCUUUAUGUAUUUGGAAUAUUAAUUACUUACCAGAUAUAUGAUUUGUUAAGUUUUUCUCCCAUUCAGUAGGUUGCCUUUUCAUUUUGUUGAUUGCUUCCUUUGCUGUGCAGAAGCUUUUUUUUUUUUUUUUUAAAGAUUUUAUUUAUUUGUUUGACAGAGAAAGAGAUAGGAAGAGAGGGAACACAAGCAGGGGGAGUGGGAGAGGGAGAAGCAGGCUCCCCGUUGAGCCAGGAACCGGAUGCGGGCUCAAUCACAGGACCCUGGAGUCAUGACCUGAGCUGAAAGCAGAUGCUUAACAACUGAGCUACCCAGGCAUCCCUGUGCAGAAGCUUUUUAGUUUGAUUUUUCUCUUUUGUUGCCCUUGCUUUUGGAGUCAGAUCCAAAAAAUCAUCAGCAACACUGAGGUCAAAGAGCUUUGUUUCUAGGUUUUCUUCUAGGAGUUUCAUUGUUUUAUGUCUUACAUUCAAAUCUUUAAUACAUUUUGAGUUAAUUUUUUAUGUGUGGUGUAAAAAACAGUCUAGUUUCGUUCUUUUGCAUGUGGUUGUUCGGUUUUCCCAACACCGUUUAUCUAAUGGAGAGACUGUCCUUUUCCCACCAUAUAUUCUUGGCUUCUUUGUCAUAAAUUAAUUGACCAUAUAUACAUGGGUUUAUUUCUGGGCACUGUUCUAUUCAUUGAUCUAUGUAUCUGUUUUAAGGUCAAUCUGAUAUUGUUUAGGUUAUUAUAGUUUUAUAAUAUAGUUUGAAAUCAGAAAAUAUGAAACCUCUAGUUUUGUUCUUCUUUCUCAAGAUUGCUUUGGCUAUUUGGGGUCUUCUCUAGUUCCAUGCCAAUUUUAGGAAUAUUUGUUCUAUUUCUGUGAAAAGUGCCAUUGGAAUUUUGAUAGGGAUUAUAUGGAAUCUGCAGAUGGCUUUGGGUAAUAUAGACAUUUUAACAAUACUAAUUCUUCCAAUCCAUGAGCAUGGAAUAUCUUUCCAUUUAUUUGUGUCACCUCCAGUUUCUUUCAUUAAUGUCUUAUGCUUUUCAGUUUAUAAGUUUUUUUACUUUCUUCAUAAGUUUUUUCCUAGUUAUUUUAUUCUUUUUGGUGCAUUUGUAAACAGGAUUUUUUAAAAAAAUUAUUUCUCUGCUAGUUACUAUUAUGUAUAAAUACAACAGAUUUUUGUGUAUUGAUUUUAUAUCCUGUAACUUACUGAAUUCAUUUAUUAGUUCUAACAAGUUUUUGGUGGGGUCAUUGGAAAGCUCUGUAUCAUUUGCAAAAGAGUUUAUCUCUUCCUUUCCAAUUUGGAUGCUUUUAAUUUCUUUUUCUUGCUUAAUUAUCUGGGAGAAAUUAUCUUAUUAUAUGACUAACACAAAUACACAAAUGUAUUCUCACUAUGAAAAAUUCAAACAGGGGUGCCUGGAUGGCUCAGUCAGCUAAGCAAUGGUCUUCAGCUUAGGUCAUGAUCUUAGGGUCCUGGGAUCGAGCCCCACAUGGGGCUUCGUGCUCAUCAGGGAGCCUGCCUCUCCCUCUGCCUGCUGCUCCCCUUGCUUAUGGACACACUCGGUCUCUUUCAAAUAAAUAAAUAAAAUCUUAAAAAAAGAAAAAGAAAAACAAUUCAAACUGUACAGAUAAAGCCAAUGUCUGCCUUGGCUUAGUUUCCCAAAUCCUGCUUCUUACCCAGAGGGCAUUCUGGGUAGCCUUCCUGAUCUGUUUUCAUGCAUACGAAGAGUUCCAUUUGAUUUUUGAAAGCCCUCUGCAGCACUUUGCAAUCUAGAACCACCUAAACCAAAGCAAACCAAACCAAAGGAGAUAGGUGAGAUUUCUCACACCUCAGAAAUACCUGCAUCCAAUUUCCACACACAGGUACUGAAGGCCAUGGAAGGCUAAAUAAUUGAGCAGAUAAUUCAAAGUCAAAAAUAUUAUUUGGCUAACGUAUAUAGAGGCGCCUGGCUGAAGUCGCCCCUUAUUCUAGAAGCAUUAGACAAUCUAUGGCUUGGCUCCUGCCUGGUCUGGUGCUGUGAACUGAUAAACAGUAGCUGAACUGAGCCACUAUAGUGGCCAAGGUUAACUGAUGAAAAUGAAAGUUCCUUCAUCAUAAACAACUACAAAAAGUCACACCAGACAAUAACAGGAAAGUGAGGACCUAAACAAAGAAAUGGAAUUUUUAUUUGACAGCCCCCCCCCCAGCCCCCAGUGAUUAUUGUUAUUUCCUUUCUAGCCACAUCAUCUAAACUCUUCAUGGGAAAGUUGAAGCCGGAAUUUA
rnacentral:lncRNA from 1 species